AGGCCCGGAGAGAGAAGCAGGGUUUGAUCUGUAGCCUCUGUGGCAGCUGCUGAUCCACCCUUGUCUCUCUCUUUCUCUCUG
rfam:Myotis davidii contig117798, whole genome shotgun sequence.